AAGACCUACUUCUAUAUAAGGAAGGAUAGGAAAGUUAUGUCACAAAUGGACGGCGUUAGUAGAGAGUGGAGCCGUUUCUGGAGCCCAUAGAGCUGAAAGUCCGCCGGAUACUUUGAAGUUGGAUAAGUAAGGGCGCUCUUAAAUUUACAAAAAGUUAUUCAAUGCCUUUCAGCACUAAGGCCUGGCCCAGAGCAAAACUUUGACGGACCCGCUAAUCGUAAAUUACAAACCUGGUUCUGAUGUCAAAAGGUUAUUCCGUCUACCCCAGAGGGAAUCCGCCAUUAAUACUGGAUGUGUAGUGAUAGACAAGGACAUUAAGGAAAUUAAUGCUGUGAGAGAUGUUUUCCCACAUGCUGUCAUCCUGCUCUGUUUGUUUCAUGUAUUGCAGCUGUCCAUAGAUUGUUGGUCCGGAAGGAUGGAAGGAACUUGAAUGUUUCAGAGAAGAAUUAAGUCAUUAGGUCCAUGAUAAGCUGAAGCAAUGUACUACACUUCAUUUUCAGCUUGUACAAGUACAGUGUUGAAGUAUUACUUUGAUGUCAAGAUGUGAAAUGCCUUAUUCAGCAGGAAGAGUUUUCCCCCGAAGCAGAAAAUAUGCUUAAGCAUCUCUGAUGUGACAAGAAAAAACAUGUCAGCGACUACCUGAAUGAAAAUUGGCUUCCUAUUGCAAUACAUAGAUCAAUUGCAAAAAGUUGGAAGAAUUCAAGAAGGAACCAACCCAGCAGCUGUCGGUGAUUCCUCUGCUAAAAAAAAUGAUCGACAAAGGACAGUAGUAUAGCGCUAUACGGGGCAUCACCAUGUUAAUUUUUAACCGAUGUGUAUGUAAUAUUUGGUUAUGACAGGUGGCGUCAACCAAUUAGGAACGACUGGAAGUCCCACCUCACUGUUCCUGUCCUGUGUUUGUAGUCUUUAAGCAAAUCCGGAAGUCCCACCCGCAUGUCCGGUCAUAUUUAGGUAGUUUUAAUACAGAUAUGGAAAUACCCCUCCUCCUCCCUCCCGGUCAUGUGUAUGUAGUUUUUAUUGCACUUUUGGAAACUGUUCUAUGUUUGUAGUUUCUCAUUAAAAUGGGAAUUAAACAAUUGUUUUGGUUAUUUUUAAUUGAUUUGUAUUUGAAAAGGGGUAAGAUGUUACACUGAAAAUAAGUUAAUAAGUUUGAAAAACAGGAGUAUACAGUUAAUUAUGUACAUAUAAAAUAAAUGGAUCGGUAUAAAUGGGUAACAACAAAAUAAAACACGCUUUUAAGAAAAAAAAAUAAGUUUGAAAAAACAAGCGGGUAUACAACAGAUAGAAAAAUCCUGACUGAAAACAAAGUAAAAUAGGAUACAGAGUUAGUUAUAAGCCAAAUAAAUUAAAUGAUUGUUAUAAAUGGUUGAAAACAAAAUAAAACACUAUUUUAACAAAAAAUAAAAAACAGGGUUAUACAGUUAGUUAUAUUAAAGAAAAUAAAUGGAUUGGAAUAAAUGGUUGAAAACAAAAAGCUAUAUAAUGCGGAAAAAUAAAGCAAGUUUGAACAGGUGAAAUGCUAAAGCAGAGAGGGGUGCCUGUUGAAAAAAGCCAUCGAAACAAAAUAAUACAAACCACGGUUAUUUGCAGCUGUUGAGGCGAUAUUAGACUCGUAAAGAAAGUUGCUUAAAGAAAAAGAAAACAUUUUUAAAACAUCACAAACCUUAAACACCUCUCUGCGUUUGAAGGCGUCUGAGGCAAAUAACUAUGUACGAACAACGUAAACUAACCCUUGCACUGCUGUAUGGGUGGGGGUGGGGGUUUGUCGGCCGGCGCUCCUGUUUAGAAGAUAUUCCUCGCCAAUGGGUGUAUUUUUCUGUUGUGUUGCGUGUGGUAUGUUAAAUGUUAGUGUAUAGGCAUUGGUGCAUGGGAUAUA